rnacentral:rRNA from 1 species
AAUCAACGCUGGCGGCGUGCCUCAGACAUGCAAGUCGAACGCGAAAGUCCCCUUCGGGGGACAAGUAGAGUGGCGCACGGGUGAGUAACACGUAGGUAAUCUACCUUCGGAUGGGGAAUAACAAUCGGAAACGGUUGCUAAUACCGCAUAAUGCAGCGGCACCUAAUGGUGACAGUUGUUAAAGCGGGGGAUCGAAAGACCUCGCGUCUGAAGAGGAGCCUGCGGCGGAUUAGCAGUUGGUAAGGUAAUGGCUUACCAAGGCGACGAUCCGUAACCGGCCUGAGAGGGCGGUCGGUCACACUGACACUGACAUACGGGUCAGACUCCUACGGGAGGCAGCAGUCGGGAAUUUGGGCAAUGGGCGAAAGCCUGACCCAGCAACGCCGCGUGAAGGAUGAAAUCCCUCGGGAU